UCUUUGGUGUUUAACGGUGGUUAGUAAAUCAAAGCUGAAUACCUCCACCUAUUGAACUUAACCGAAUUUGACAUUUUUGGCUCUAACGGAAGAACUUGUUUAAAACGCAGAACAGGAGAGAUGUUACUAGACUGCCUCACCCCCACAGUCAAACAUUGAGGAGAAAAGCAGGGAAGACUGUGGCUAAUCAUGACCAACUUCACCAUUCUACAAGAAAUGACCCAAAGCAUAAGUAUAUGCUGGUAUUUAGAGAACAAACAGUGGACUGGAGUGUUAUCUAUCAUGGAAUGGCCUACACGGUCACCGGACUUAAAUCCUAUUGAACUGCUCUGGAAUGAACUGGAUUGAAAGUCAGAAAGAAAUAUUUAACUAGCAAAGAACACCUUUGGCAAGUUUUACAAGAGGCAUGGGAAAGUAUUUCAGCUGAAUGUUGAGAAACAAAUUGGCCAGUUGCGAUUUGUUCAAUACAAAUAAAUUUUAGCAUCUGUACAUUUAUAUAUUUGUUUGGUCAAAAUAAAUCUCCAUACCAUCAA